AUGAAAUUAAUGAAAGUUAUAAUAUGCACUUCUGUGUUACAAGUGAUGAUGAUGCCUUUGUGUAGACUUAUUAUUUUUUCAAUUAGUAUUGUCAAUGAUCAGUUUAAUCGUCCUUUUUUUAUGUUAAACGUGAAUGGGGAUUCCAGAGAUACAUUUGGACAUUUCUUUUUUUGUUAUGUCCAAGAUUUGCUGUUACUUUUAUAA